rnacentral:rRNA from 1 species
GCAUCUAAGUGUGAAGCCCACCUCAAGAUGAGAUUUCCCAUUUCUUUAAGAAAGUAAGAUCCCUGAGAGAUGAUCAGGUAGAUAGGUCAGGAGUGGAAGUACAGUGAUGUAUGGAGCGGACUGAUACUAAUCGAUCGAGGACUUAACCAA